rnacentral:snRNA from 1 species
GUGCUCGUUUUGGCAGCACAUAUACUAAAAUUGGAAAGA